GCUUGUUGAAAAUCACCCUGGGCCUUGUCCGUGGCCGUGGGUGAGAUUCGGCGCCCAAAUCUUCCAGGGGCCUCAGCUCACUUCCCGCCGCCGCGGUGUGGGAGGGUGAAACCCAGGCCCCGACAAGG
ensembl:snoRNA